rnacentral:rRNA from 1 species
ACUGCUCAGUAACACGUCGAUAAUCUCACUUCAGGUCUGGGAUAACCUUGGGAAACUGAGGCUAAGCCCGGAUAGAAAAAUUGUUCUGGAAUGACUUUUUUUCCAAAGGCAACGCCUGAAGAUGAGUCGGCGGCGGAUUAGGUUGUUGGCGGGGUAAAGGCCCACCAAGCCCGAGAUCCGUAGGGGCCUUGAGAGAGGGAGCCCCGAGAAGGUCACUGAGAUACUGGACCUAGCCCUACGGGGUGCAGCAGGCGCGAAACCUCUACAAUGCACGCAAGUGUGAUAGGGGAAUCCCAAGUGCUCAUGUUCUACAUGGGCUUUUGCCAAGGGUAAAAACCUUGGAGAAUAAGUGGUGGGUAAGACUGGUGCCAGCCGCCGCGGUAACACCAGCGCCACUAGUGGGGACCACUUUUAUUGGGCCUAAAGCGUUCGUAGCCGGCUUUGUAAAUCUUUUGUGAAACUGUUGAGCUCAACUCAACAACGCGCAGGGGACACUGCAAAGCUUGGGACCGGGAGGAGUCAGAGGUAUGUCUGGGGGAGCGGUAAAAUGUUGUAAUCCCAGAUAGACCACCUGUGGCGAAGGCGUCUGACCAGAACGGAUCCGACGGUGAGGGACGAAAGCCAGGGGAGCAAAACGGAUUAGAUACCCGAGUAGUCCUGGCCGUAAACGCUGCGAGCUAGGUGUUGCAUAAUCUUCGUGAUUGUGCAGUACCGGAGCGAAGGUGUUAAGCUCGCCGCCUGGGAAGUACGGUCGCAAGGCUGAAACUUAAAGGAAUUGGCGGGGGAGCAC